rfam:Triticum urartu cultivar G1812 contig91782, whole genome shotgun sequence.
UUUGUAUUCCCUCCGUCCGGAAUUACUUGUCUCGAAAAUGGAUAUAUCUAGAAUUAAAAUAGGUCUAGAUAUAUCCAUUUCUGCGACAAGUAAUUCCGAACGGAGGGAGUAAUUA